CUACAUUUCCCAGAAUCCUCUUUGACUCCUAGUCCUUGCUUGCCAUUGGCCAAACAGUAUUUUAUUCAACAGUCAAUAAGAUAAACAUACAAAGAAGUGCAUUCCCCAUCAAGAGCCCUGCUUAGGAAUGUGAUCAUGUGAGGGUAAUUCUAAGUACUUAUGAGAAAAUUCCAAGGAAACGGGACAAGAGUUUUAAGACCUCAGUUUUUUCAAAACACAGAACUGUGAGCCAGGCAUGGUGCAAGCCUUUAAUCCCAGCACUUGGGAAGCAGAGAGUAUUAAUUGAUGUCCUGGAUGAAGUUGGCUACUGCAUGAGACUUUAUUCUGCCACAUUUAUCGUCUCCAUUCUUCCAUGUCCCACCACCUCUAGAGCAGUGACAAGUGGUAUCUGAAGUGGUAUCUGAAGAGGAAUCUGGUCAAAUACUUGAUAACAGCGUGGGGACCCUCACAGAAGCAUGGUCUUGACCCCUUUGCUCAUCACUCCUCCAUCUCUACAACUGGAUUCAAGGAGUUCAGCUCAGUGCUUAGCUGUGAAUCUCUGCUUCUGCUUCCAUCAGCUACUGGAUGAAGGCUCUAUGAUGACAUUUAAGGUAGACAUCCUUGAUUCUGAAAGACCCCUGCCCCUUAGCCCUUUCUUUCUCAAGUUUGUCUCCUCUUCCUCCUGUUGGCGGCUUCCCCGAUCCCCACCCCCGGUGGCCUUCCCCCGCCACCCGCCGCAUGCCUGGCCCGAGAACAAGCACCAGGUGGGCCGGCCCGAGAACGAGCACCGGGUGGGCCAGCACGAGGGCGAGCACCAGGUGGGUCGGCACGAGAACAAACACCAAGUGAUCCGGCCUGGAGCCCUGCCCCUGAGCCCCCGCCAGAAGAGAAACACUCCGUCCCAAGGUCUCCGCCCCCAAGAUGCUGAUUUCAGAGCUGUGAGCUAUGCAGGGACUGAACAUCUGCAUCUUCAAAUCAUUGCUGCUGAGUUUGAGAAUAAACCUGACAAUGAAAUGUCAUAGUCUCAGAGCUGCUGCUUCCAUCAAAGGGAAAAGAAAUGAAGAUCACUUUAAAGAGAGCUAUGAAGCCAUGGAAACAGCAAAUACCUGGCAUCAGUAUUUUAUAGUUUAUUCUAGAGCUACUGGAUGUGGUAGAAUGCUUAUUUAAUUUUUAAAGAAUUUUUGUACAUAAGGCAAUAUCUUAAGGAAGGACAACAUGAUUAGAAGUUAAUGAAAAAUUAUCAUAAUGAUUUAGGAUCUU
rnacentral:lncRNA from 1 species